UACGUAGGGCGCAAGCGUUAUCCGGAAUUAUUGGGCGUAAAAGAGCUCGUAGGCGGUUUGUUGCGUCUGCCGUGAAAGUCCGGGGCUCAACUCCGGAUCUGCGGUGGGUACGGGCAGACUAGAGUGAUGUAGGGGAGACUGGAAUUCCUGGUGUAGCGGUGAAAUGCGCAGAUAUCAGGAGGAACACCGAUGGCGAAGGCAGGUCUCUGGGCAUUAACUGACGCUGAGGAGCGAAAGC
rnacentral:rRNA from 1 species